rnacentral:rRNA from 1 species
AUCCUGGCUCAGAUUGAACGCUGGCGGCAUGCCUUACACAUGCAAGUCGAACGGUAACAGGCCGCAAGGUGCUGACGAGUGGCGAACGGGUGAGUAAUACAUCGGAACGUGCCGAGAGUGGGGAUAACGGAGCGAAAGCUUUGCUAAUACCGCAUACGAUCUACGGAUGAAAGCAGGGGGACCGCAAGGCCUUGCGCUCAUGGAGCGGCCGAUGGCAGAUUAGGUAGUUGGUGGGAUAAAAGCUUACCAAGCCGACGAUCUGUAGCUGGUCUGAGAGGACGACCAGCCACACUGGGACUGAGACACGGCCCAGACUCCUACGGGAGGCAGCAGUGGGGAAUUUUGGACAAUGGGCGAAAGCCUGAUCCAGCCAUGCCGCGUGCAGGAUGAAGGCCUUCGGGUUGUAAACUGCUUUUGUACGGAACGAAAAGACUCUGGUUAAUACCUGGGGUCCAUGACGGUACCGUAAGAAUAAGCACCGGCUAACUACGUG